rnacentral:lncRNA from 1 species
CCGCCUCAUAAACAAGCGCCUUCUUCCUUCAGCCUGAGGAGAGCGCGCGCGACGGUAAGGGGGGGGCGGAGCCUUUCCCAACGUUCCGCAGCCGCCGAGGCGCGCGCGCGCGCACACACAAACAUAUAAAAGGGGCGGAGCCGUCCGCUUCAAGAUUCGCGGCGCGCGCCUGCCUCAGUAGCGUCGCCGUCUUUUGGGGGCUUUUUUUUUUUUUUUGGCACAGAUUGCGCAUGCGUUUUGGAUAGGGUUGGCUCUUUUGGGGCCGCCGCUGCUGCUUCUCCUCCUCUAAGGCGUCUGGUGGGGAACUGGCCGGGCGCAUGCGCCCAGGGGUGUGGACCGUGGGGAAAGGAAGGGGUUAAAACGGGCUCAAGGGUGAGGCUCAGCUGCACCUCUGCUAUCUCAGGGCGGAAUCUUCUGGGAAGACAGUUUACCUCUCCCAGAGUUCAAGAUUACAUUCUCCAAAGGUUCCAGUUCGAGCGAGAGAGACUGAAUAAGAAACUAGGGCCAACUCGCAGGCAAGCCGGGCCCACAUUCCCUGAGUCACACAAAGACGGAGAGCCACUGAUGCCGGCAAGCCCAUGAGCAUAACUAGCAUCCCCAUGGCAACGGCAGAUGAUGGAUUCUCAACGUGACAUCACAAGUGGCAAGCGGCGCGCCGGCAAUAUUUCCUAACAGGAGUGAUCGGUGCCUAUUACAGCUGCUGCCAGAGCUCAAGAAAAGCGGUGGAUCGGCAAAAGCUGGCAGAUUUCUACAGAGGUGCCGGGAGGACGAGAAUAAAGCCAGGGAAAGCAGCA